rnacentral:lncRNA from 1 species
GUUUUAUUGACAUAUUGCUUUAGAUUAAGGAAAACCAAAAAGUAUUAUUGGUACAUAUUUUAUCUGAGGUCGCUGGAGUGGGAGAUAAUGUAGACUAUGGGAGCAUUCAGAUCCCACGCAGCCAACCCCUACAAGAACAACAGAAGAGUAUCUGACACUGACUUCUCCCCCUUUUUCCCUCAGGGCUAUAUCCCAAGGAGACUUGCACACCCCCAAUUUCUUCCCCUUCUUGGCUCGUGGUAUGUUCCAGGAGAGGACUGUAAACCAGUCUGACUUCUCCCACCUUCCCCCCCACCUUCUCAUCCUGUGGUAUUUGCCGGGAGAGAACAGCCACGGGCACCUCUGCGCCUUGUCAGAAGCCUUUCAGCUUCUCUGAACAUUAUUACACAGAUCCAGAGUAUAGGUCCAAAGACCCCUCCUCCAGGAAGCCCGCCCCAAAGAACGUCGCCACCCACGCUCCCCGCCACGGAGACAGCUCCGCGGCUCUGCUCUGUGAGUCUAGAGGCUUCUUUACCCUUGGUAGGGAACAGUUACUCCCCCAACAUGGCGCACCCGACAGGGAAGCGCGACACGGGCGCGGCCAUGUUCCCCGCCUGACGACGCGGCUGUAGGGCACCGAACGCCCCGAAGCACCGAUCCGUAACAUCCCCAUGUUGACUCUGGGCUGAGAGCGGCUUCGAAUGUGGUUUUGCGCGUGUGCAGGACCACGCCCCCUUCGUCCGUCGCCCCAAACCCUCAGAAGGGGCAGUGCUAGGGGUGGUGACCGGAAGCGGCUACGGUUCUCAGCAGUGUUUAAUAGUUGUCCGGAGGAUCUCAGUGCUCUGCGUCCGAGGGAUGUGGAAGAGAUGGGGCCCGGGGAGCGCUUUCCUCUUCUCUCGACGUUAAAGUCCUGAAGUUCACUCUAAAGACCCAGAGGUUCGGUGCAUUAUGUUCUAAGUGUUCCCUGAGAGUUGAUUUUUCUUUUACCCACAGGUUAUUUAGAAGUGCGUUUUUAGUUUCCAAAAGUUUAUCUUUUUGAUAGAUUUCUAGCUUUAGUUUUCUGUGGUCAGAAAAAUGUCUAUGAAGCUCAUUUCUUGAAACAGGAGGAGACUCAUGGCCUAGGCCGUGGUGAAUUUUUAUAAAUGUUCCUUCUUUUAAUAAAAAAUUAUAUUUAGUUGUUUAGUUGUCA